rnacentral:tRNA from 1 species
AAGGGAGACCUAAUUCAGGUAGGAGACGAAAAAAAAGUAGUCGCUACCAAGAAUCAAUCCCAAAAGGUCGGAGCGAGGCGAAAUUGGCUUUCAAACUAGGUUCUGGGUUCACACAAGACCUGAAUCAGGAACAAGGGCUAUUAGCUCAGGUGGUUAGAGCGCACCCCUGAUAAGGGUGAGGUCCCUGGUUCGAGUCCAGGAUGGCCCACCUGUACAGGUGGCAAAAAGAAAGAAAAGAAGCGGGGAAUCAGCACCUUAUCUUACUGACAUAGUAAGAGAGAAUGCUGGCUCUGAGUAAAGAGUCCAGAGGAACCUUGAAAACUGCAUAGAGCUAGGUGAAAAAGCCAAAAAAGAAGACCGCAA